AAGCACUACACAAGUACAUCUCACUUAAAAUAAACAGUAUUGUUCUCGGAAGCAAAAUACGCCACCACACGCCAUGGUGCGCCAUCUUACUCGAUCUGGCCUCAAGGAACUAGCAGCGCUGCUUGCUCCUUUGGCUGAGAGCUCCUUGCUGUAGAGGAUGGCUGAAACUCGGAUGCAAAGCUCCCUGCACAUGACAUAUUGUGUCAAUGCUUGCAACAACAAAAAGAACUCACCUACCAUAGAACUUGCACAGUAAUGUAUCAACCACCAAACUGUAUGAAACAAAAACAAAUGAGAGGGGGAGGAGUUUAUACCUGAUCUUCUUGAGCCUCUCCCCAAGCAAAAGCAUCAUCCAAGGUAAUCGUCUAAACAAGAACACUCCUUAAGAUUCUGGAAAUGGACCAACACAGUAGUAGUGAAGCUAUGCGGGGAUCUUUGUGAAGCUGUUUAUCGCUUCUUGGAGACACCAACAGUCUUCCCUCUCCUGCCGGUAGUCUUGGUGUGCUGACCACGGAUACACACGCCCCAGUAGUGACGCAGACCAUGAUGGUUCCUGGGAAAGAGAGCAAGGUUUCAAGCAUAAGUGAUGGCUCAUACAUCUAUGCACUAAGGAAAA
rnacentral:lncRNA from 1 species